rnacentral:rRNA from 1 species
UACAGAGGUGGCAAGCGUUGUUCGGAAUUACUGGGCGUAAAGGGCGCGUAGGCGGUUCGUUAAGUCCUGUGUGAAAUCCCCCGGCUCAACUGGGGAACUGCACAGGAAACUAGCGGGCUUGAGUUCGGGAGAGGGAAGCGGAAUUCCGGGUGUAGCGGUGAAAUGCGUAGAUAUCCGGAGGAACACCGGUGGCGAAGGCGGCUCCUGGACCGACACUGACGCUGAGGCGCGAAAGCUAGGGGAGCAAACGGGAU